rnacentral:lncRNA from 10 species
AAAAGCAUAUGCGGACUUAAAGCUUGUGAAAACCAGAUAAAGGUAGGCAUACUUUGGAAAGAAACUGCCUGGUAUAGAGGGAUUAAUUGUUUCCACACAUCUAAGCCUGACUCCAAAACUGGCAAUGGAAGACUGUAUCUUGCUAACAAGUCUUAGACAUGUAGUACUUGAAAAAGAACAGGUAAGGCCAGGCGCAGUGGCUCAUGCCUGUAAUCCCAGCACUUUGGGAGGCCGAGGCAGGCGGAUCACGAGGUCAAGAGAUCCAGACAAUUCUGGCCAACAUGGUGAAACCCUGUCUCUACUAAAAGUACAAAACUUAGCUGGGCGUGGUGGCACUCGCCUGUAGUCCCAGUUACUUGGGAGGCUGAGGCAGGAGAAUUGCUUGAACCUAGGAGGCGGAGGUUGCUUUGAGCCAAGAUCGCGCUACUGUGCUCCUACCUGGCGACAGAGCGAGACUCCGUCUCAAAAAAAAAAAAAAAAAAAAAAAAAAAAAGAAAGAACAGGUAUAUUCUAUACCAAGGUGUUUGGAAUGGAGACCAGGAAAAUGAUAGGAACGAAAAUAUGUUCAGAGCAACCCAGGCUGAGACUGGGGAGGCACACUUGAAGACAUGACGGGGCAAGAGGUUUCGUAGUUCACUUGGUUUCCCACCCAUAGCUGCAUUUAGACACUCUACUAACUUCAAUAGGCAUGUUGGGCCAGGAUGCAAAAUUAUUUGCCUUUUAGUUCACAAUAUUUUAUCCGUUUCAUAACACAUAUGGCUUAGAAGUUGAGAGUAUGCGGCUUGAAGACAAAUCUCAGUGCUAAGGAAUAAUAAUUAUAAUAGGCCGGGCAGGUUAUUUAACUUCUCUCUCUCUGAUUGCUUCCUUACGUUUCAAGGGGGGAUAGCACCACCCACCUCAGUGGGUUUGCAUAAAGAUAAAAACACCAAAUGUGCCUUAGUUUGGUACUUAGAACAUACUACAAAACACGGACCCAUUAGUAAUAAAAACAGCUGCUCUAGAACUCUCCUUAGGAGGAAAGAGCCGGGUUUUAACAGAGAACAAACAUAAGCUGUGUUGCACAACCCCUUUCUCCAGCUGAAUCUUCACUGUGUCUCCCUGGGUCCCAACACACAAUCCUCGUGACCCCAUAGGAGGCUCAAGGCAUCUACAGAAGGCACAUGUUAAGACAGAGAUGUGAUUAUUUUUUAAGAGACUAAGAAACUCCAAAUAAUGAAUGGCUAUCUAUCAUGUGCAAUGACUCUGGAGAAAUAUAAAAUACGAACUCUGCCCUUAAGAUAUUGUCAGCCUGGUGGCAGUGGGAAGAGGUGCAGGGGAAACAUUGAAAUUUGGUUUGGAGAGACAGCCAUGUAAAACCAAGUAGAUGUAUUUAUAAGGCUUCCCUGAAGAAGGGAUGCCUUUGCUGAGUCUGAGGGAAGAGUAGAACAAUCCAGCGAAUGAGAAGAUGCAAGUAUGAAAUGCAAGAACAUUGUUAUGUUUAUAGUAGAAGGAGCUUGUGAAGGCAAAGGGAAAAGAAUCAGGAACAAAUCAACAAAAUCCCAGUGUGGGAAGGCAAGAAAUGUACAUUUUAUCAUCAAAGCCAAUGGAAAGCCAUGGUUGAAUCUCCACAAUGAGAUGAACUUGAUCAGCUUUUCACCUUGGAAAGGUUCCUCCAGCUUGGUUUCGAAGUAAGAGCAAAACAGAAGCUACAGCUACACUUCAGGCAAGACAGAUGACCACUCCAACAAAAUGCAGUGACUGAGGAAUCAGGAGAAGAUCAACUAAAAGCUAGCAGAUAUCAUAUUAGCAGGCCUUGGUGACAAUUGGGUAUGGAAGAAGUGAGAAGGAUCUUGGCUGACUGCGGUUUCUGGCUUAGACAACUGAAUGGAUAGUGGGCCCAUAUGUUAACAUAGAAAAUGCAAGGAAAGGACCAGAGUUCCUGGGAGCUGAUGUGCACAGUCCAUAGUGACUCAUAGAGGUCCACGUGCACUGUGGCAGUAAGCAAAGCUGUGAAAGACGCCCUGCGUGAUGGACAGAAUGUGAUUUGGUGUCUUUCAGAAGGAGUCUCGGUCCUGGUUUGGGGCUUUGAUGACUCAACAAAGUGAAGUCUGGAAAGAGGGCAGGGAGACCUCCUGGUGUGUCCUAGGGGGAGGAGAAAGGAAAGGAUGCCCUGACUUAGAGAGGAGAGAGAACAGCAGCUGCCCAGACACCCCAGGACCUGCCCAAUCUUGAGCUACUCCUGUUGCUGGGAUUCCUUCUGUGCCCUAGACAAAGCAACUGGGACUCACCAUAAAGAGGCUCCCUCCUUGGACUGAGUUCAACAAGAGGAAGAUCAAACAGAAACCACCAUGUUUACUUAGACCUCUGACCCUGGGUUGGGCGGCCUCAUGUCCCCCGUGGCUCCACUCUGCAUGAGAAGCACCAGCAGUGGAGCCAACUAUAGGCUCAAACUAGCCAUCAAAGCUGCCAUGAUCACAGGAUCUACAAACAGCUACUUGAGGACCUGGUCUUGAGGGAUCACACGAAGAAUCUCUUCAGAGUACAGAGCCUCUUGGAAGCGGAUUCUGCAGCCCUGAUCAAGUCAACAUCCUAACUGCAACCUCAUGAUAGACUGUAAACCAGAACUACUCAGGUAAGCCUCUCCCAAAUUCCUGAUAAUACAUGUUUAUUGUUUCUUAGGCCCCGAAAUUUGGGGUGAUUUGUUAUGCAGCAAUAUGUAACUAAUACACAUACCUUAAAAUUGCUGAUUGCUAACUCUAUUAUUUGGGCUAUCUUGAACUUUCUUCUUAUUGUCUGUGGGUCACAUAUUCAUUUUGCCUGAUAAUAACAUUGCUGUGUCAGCUUUUCUAUGCUUAGCAUUUCCAAGAUACAUCUUUUGCUUUCAACCUAUCUGUACCUUUAUACUGUCUUUCAUAAACAGUGUAUAGUUGGGUCUUGCUUUUUU